rnacentral:tRNA from 1 species
GCCCUGAGGUGAGUAGUCAUAUUGAAUUGCAAAUUCAAAGAAGCAGCUUCAACCCUGCCGGGGCUU